rnacentral:rRNA from 1 species
CCUACGGGAGGCAGCAGUGGGGAAUAUUGCGCAAUGGGCGAAAGCCUGACGCAGCGACGCCGCGUGAGGGAUGAAGGUCUUCGGAUCGUAAACCUCUGUCAGCAGGGAAGAACGGUCACUGUGCUAAUCAGCAGUGAAUUGACGGUACCUGCAAAGGAAGCACCGGCUAACUCCGUGCCAGCAGCCGCGGUAAUACGGAGGGUGCGAGCGUUAAUCGGAAUUACUGGGCGUAAAGCGCUCGUAGGCGGUAUGGCAAGUCAAGGGUGAAAUCCCCGCGCUCAACGUGGGAACUGCCUUUGAAACUGGCAAACUGGAGUGUAGGAGAGGCUAGUGGAAUUCCAGGUGUAGGAGUGAAAUCCGUAGAUAUCUGGAGGAACAUCAGUGGCGAAGGCGACUAUCUGGAACAUAACUGACGCUGAGGAGCGAAAGCGUGGGUAGCAAACAGGAUUAGAUACCCGGGUAGUC